CAGAACUUUCACAAUGGCUACUAGAGGUUCUAGCUAGAUCCCAGACGUUUGAGGGAAAUCAAGAAUGAAUCAUCGGAAAGUAACGUUUACGUUAUAUAUUGUUGACAUGAGGACUGACAAAUACUCAAACAGUUUUAUUGAUGUCAUCUUUUGCAACAAACCAUCAAAAUAACGACGUAAAACAGGCUUAGGAACUUCGUUAUCCUUGAAAAAGAACGUUGAAUGUCUCACCUCUGAGAUGGCCCGAAUAAUUCUCCAGUCCUCCCUUGCCAUGCCAGGAGCUGUCACUGCCACAUGAGUCUGCUGUGCUCGACCUUCAGUGUUGACAUAGGUGCCACACUUUUCAGUGUAUGCCGCCCCAGGUAGUAUCACAUCUGCCAUAAUUGCUCCUACAUCACCAUGAUGCCCUACAACACAAAGUUCUCUUACAAUUCAACAAUAGGCAAAUGCGGCUUAGCAUGAGCAAUUUAACUUGCUCACUUCCAUUAUUGAAGAAAUAUUUGGAUAAUUAUUUAAAUGCAAUUCAGUUAGUUUCUAAAGUAACUCUUGCUGUUCUUAUCUGUUAUUGCCUUGGACUGCUGUAAGAAGUUAGAAUACAGUCUGACAAACAGACACAUGCUGUAGCACUGAGUAUGAAUCUGAAUUACUGUAUCUAUACUUACCCUGAUAGAUGAUAAAACAGUCCUUUGGCAAGUCCUGUCUUGUUAUACAGCCAGCAUCAGCCCCAAGAAGAAAUAAAACUUUUGGUGGAUUCUGCCUUAUAGCCUCUACUCCUGGUUUAUACCCCAGAUCCAAUGCAGCCACUUGACUAGCCACUCUGUUCAGUCAAACAAAAGACAAACCUUGACACAACUUUGAUAAUUCUUGUAUAAUAAUCCUUGUACCUAUAUAAUAAUAAAGCCAAAACAAAUAUUAA